rnacentral:rRNA from 1 species
GACGAACGCUGGCGGCGUGCUUAACACAUGCAAGUCGAACGGUGAAGCGCCUUCCUUUUUGGUGGGUGUGGAUGAGUGGCGAACGGGUGAGUAACACGUGAGUAACCUGCCCCCUUCUUCUGGAUAACCGCAUGAAAGUGUGGCUAAUACGGGAUAUUCUGGGUCUGUCGCAUGAUGGGUCUGGGAAAGAUAUUGUUUCGGUGGGGGAUGGGCUCGCGGCCUAUCAGCUUGUUGGUGGGGUGAUGGCCUACCAAGGCGGUGACGGGUAGCCGGCCUGAGAGGGUGGACGGUCACACUGGGGAUGAGACACGGCCCAGACUCCUACGGGAGGCAGCAGUGGGGAAUAUUGCACAAGGGGCGCAAGGCUGAUGCAGCGACGCCGCGUGAGGGAUGGAGGCCUUCGGGUUGUGAACCUCUUUCGCCAGUGAAGCAGGCCUGCCUCGUUUGUGGGUGGGUUGACGGUAGCUGGAUAAGAAGCGCCGGCUAACUACGUG